AUAGCUCUUUAAAUGGUACUG
rnacentral:miRNA from 1 species